AACGAACGCUGGCGGCAUGCCUAACACAUGCAAGUCGAACGAAACCUUCGGGUCUAGUGGCGCACGGGUGCGUAACGCGUGGGAACCUGCCCUUAGGUUCGGAAUAACUCCCCGAAAGGGGUGCUAAUACCGGAUAAUGUCUUCGGACCAAAGAUUUAUCGCGUUUGGAUGGGCGCGCGUUGGAUUAGCUAGUUGGUAGGGUAAAAGCCUACCAAGGCGACGAUCCAUAGCUGGUCUGAGAGGAUGAUCAGCCACACUGGGACUGAGACACGGCCCAGACUCCUACGGGAGGCAGCAGUGGGGAAUAUUGGACAAGGGGCGAAAGCCUGAUCAAGCAAUGCCGCGUGAGUGAGGAAGGCCGUAGGGUUGUAAAGCUCUUUUACCCGGGAUGAUAAUGACAGUACCGGGAGAAUAAGCUCCGGCUAACUACGUG
rnacentral:rRNA from 1 species